rnacentral:rRNA from 1 species
CAGGCCUAACACAUGCAAGUCGAGCGCGAACGGGGACUUCGGUUCCUUAGUAGAGCGGCGAACGGGUGAGUAACACGUGGGUAAUCUGCCUCCGGGUGGGGAAUAACUCAGGGAAACUUGAGCUAAUUCCGCAUAACGUGGCCGAUCACAAGAUCGGCUACCAAAGCUGGGGACCCUUCGGGGCCUGGCGCUUGGAGAGGAGCCCGCGGCCAAUUAGCUUGUUGGUGAGGUAAUGGCUCACCAAGGCUCCGAUUGGUAGCCGGCCUGAGAGGGCGGACGGUCACACUGGAACUGAGACACGGUCCAGACUCCUACGGGAGGCAGCAGUGAGGAAUUUUCGUCAAUGGGGGAAACCCUGAACGAGCAACGCCGCGUGGAGGACGAAGACCUUCGGGUUGUAAACUCCUGUCGGACGGGACGAAAGUUACCGAGGUUAAUACCCUUGGUAGUUGACGGUACCGUACGAGGAAGCCCCGGCUAACUUCGUGCCAGCAGCCGCGGUAAUACGAGGGGGGCAAGCGUUGUUCGGAAUUACUGGGCGUAAAGGGCGCGUAGGCGGUCUGACAAGUCUUCCGUGAAAGCCCACGGCUCAACCGUGGAACUGCGGGGGAAACUGCCAGACUUGAGUCCGGGAGGGGAGAGUGGAAUUCCCAGUGUAGCGGUGAAAUGCGCAGAUAUUGGGAGGAACACCGGAGGCGAAGGCGUCUCUCUGGACCGGUACUGACGCUG